rfam:Brassica napus, WGS project CCCW01000000 data, contig: 14680
ACUGGGUAUAUGAUGAAAUUAUAUUUCAUGGGUAAUUUGCGUCUGAAUCUUCUUGAUGCUAUCUUUAUGAUUUUCUGAUACCCUCA